UACGGAGGAUGCAAGCGUUAUCCGGAAUGAUUGGGCGUAAAGCGUCCGCAGGUGGCUAUGUAAGUCUGCUGUUAAAGAGUGAGGCUCAACCUCAUAAGAGCAGUGGAAACUACAUGGCUAGAGUGCGUUCGGGGCAGAGGGAAUUCCUGGUGUAGCGGUGAAAUGCGUAGAGAUUGGGAAGAACACCAGCGGCGAAAGCGUGCUACUGGGUCUGCACUGACACUGAGGGACGAAAGCUAGGGGAGCGAAAGGG
rnacentral:rRNA from 1 species